rnacentral:misc_RNA from 1 species
UACAGAGGGUGCAAGCGUUACUCGGAAUUACUGGGCGUAAAGCGCGCGUAGGUGGCUUUAUAAGUCGGUUGUGAAAUCCCCGGGCUCAACCUGGGAACUGCAUCCGGAACUGUCAAGCUAGAGUACAGGAGAGGAAGGUAGAAUUCCCGGUGUAGCGGUGAAAUGCGUAGAGAUCGGGAGGAAUACCAGUGGCGAAGGCGGCCUUCUGGACUGAUACUGACACUGAGGCGCGAAAGCGUGGGUAGCAAACAGA